CAGGUUAAAGGAGAAUGUCGUAAGAGACCAGAGGAAGAAGAUGAUGAAGGCUGGAAGCUGACUUAGCAAAGCUGGCGACAGGCAAAGCCACGAAGCAUUCAAUUGAUACAGUGAGCACCCAAAAGGCCCAGAAAAUGAUACUAAGCCCGUGGUGCAAUCAGACUACACUACCGCAGAUUCAUCAGACAUCAUGCUAUAAAAACCUCAGAGUUCACAGAGCUUAAUCUUUUCUUAUACACAUGAAAAAAAUUAAAAGAAAGCGGAGAUCAACAGACUAGAAGCUUUUUCCAACAUCAUACAGUCUUUCCUGGAAGUGGAGCAGCUAUCCAGUAGCCCAAACGUGGUGCAUCAUAUGUCCAGACGAAGUGAUUGUUAUGUUCCUUGACCAUUCCCUGGCCAUGAUUUACCCAAGCACCUAAAAAGACCACAAAGGCUGGUUCGGAGAUGGGCAUGAAAAUUCUAUAACUGCAGUGAAUCCAAGAGCUUGUACAAUUGCUACUGGGAAAAGAAUCUCUUGCCAUUGGACUUCAACCUGUGUGUCAAGUCAGAACACCUACACUCUCUUCUUGCCACUCUGAAGAUAAACCUGAAUCUUUGAAUAAAAGCUAGAGUUUUGUUCAUCAUUUAACAAAUAUUUAUAACAGAGCCCCUAUUGGCACCACCUACUCAUCUUGGUUCCAAAGACACAUUGAGAGCUUGCCCUAGUGAGGGCCUCGCCUGCUUGCUGGACCACGGAAUGCCUUUAGGCAGAGUCACAGAUGUGUGCAGCAGAAAACACAGGCCCAUAACAGAGGAGGGACAGUCAUCUUGCUGAAGCACCAAUAGCAUUGGCUACAACAGGUCACACAAGGCACCUUUAUCCUGGAGACCACUUGAUUCUACUGCCCAGAAUUUCUUCAUCCUUUUUGGGUUUUACUCUAGGAAACCGCAUACUGACCAUUUUAGCCCAUUUGAUUCACUUGGGGUUUCAUUUCUGUAACACAAGCUAAUGGUGCAUGCCAGAAUGGCCUGGAACCAAUCCAAAUGUCAGGUAUUCAAUUGAUAAAUGUUAUCUCGUGUUAAUAACUUUGAAUUGACUAUCCUUUAAUAUAACUUACAAAGUGAAAAUUCAGUGAUAGUAUUGAUAUUUCUGUAAUCAAUGUAUUUUUAACAAUUUAAGGGUCAACUCUUAAAUCCUUGAAACUCAUCAGAAACAUCAGCUAUUGCUUUGGACUUUAAGGUUGCUGACAAAGACGAAAGCAAUCAGUUCAAUUAUUAGAAUUUUUAAAGUGUCAGUUUCUAAAUAGUUACAUCACAAAACAUGACAAAAAUGUAACAUAAUUUUCAAAAUCAGUGUAUUAUUUACAUAUGAAGCUAGAAAAACUAAUACCUGGAAAGUAAGAGAUAUAACUAAAAACAACACAUUUAUAUUACUCUUCUUUGGUUAAAUUGAGGGUAUAAUCUAAUACCUUCUGAUCACUUUACAAGUACUAUCUACACCUUACUCUGUUAAAAUACCUGCCUUAAAAAAGUGUUGUGGAAAUAUUUCACAUUAAUAGAGGCUGAGACAUGAAAACUGAAUGUAACAUUUGACCCUAAACUGGAGUGACAAAAAAAAAAAAAGCUCCAGUGGCCAAAAUUGGAAUUUGGAUGGUAAGUUAUCCUUUCAACAUUAAAUUGGCUGAACUGUGUUGUGGCCACUUAAUAUCCCAAAUCUUAUCAAGUGCAUGCUUAAGUAUUUAGAGGUAAAAGUCCACGAUGCAUGUAACUUACCUUCAAAUGGUUCAGAAAAAAAGUAUGCAUCCCCAGAGCACAAAUACACAUGUAGUAAAGCAAAUGGAAUAAAAUGUUAUCAAUAGCUAAAUUUGAGUAGAGGUUAUACAGGAGUUGUCUCUUAUCCUUGCAACUUUUCUAUAUUUUGAAAUUAUUUCUGCAUUUGAAGUUAUUUUCAAAUAUAAAGUUAAAAAUAUACAUGUGCCUUAAUUAUGCUGAAGCCCCAAAUUUCUUAUAACUGAAAACAUGUACACUAAGUAAAAUGUCUGCCUGAGCCUCUCUAAGGUUUUGUACAUUCCUGAAGUUUCUAAUUUCUCCUGCUCCCUUUUUAUCACAAACACACACAAACCUAACACAUUUUCAUUGUACAAACUGAACACCUGUCUGAUCAAAUCCUGGAAGAAAAAAUAUUAAUGUUUUAUGGAAGUUGAGAAGUGAGGAUGUGUAUCUUCCAAGGAAGGAUUUAUCAUCUGCAGAAACACCCCUCCUUUCCUGCUUAGCUUUUCAAUGGGUCAACUCUUAGGACACUGAGGUAGUAAAAGGAAGCUGAGAACUCAAGAGAGCCCACAGUGUUCUCAUGGAGAUAUAGACAGUAUCUCCCAGAUAAAUGAGUGCUCACCAUUGCUUGGUAAAAUGCAAAGGAGUGGCAUAUGGACAUGUUCACACUAAUCUAUUUCAUAUAUUCUGGAGGAAAUUACAAUUUGUAAUGGGGUUUGAAGAAGACAGUAUGAAGUAGGAAUGUGUCAAAACACAACCUUAACAAGAAGGUGCUGCUGAAGAGGGACCGUUUUUACUAAGGUCCCAGCAGCAUAACGUGUAGCCUUUCUCUAUGGUAAAUAGUUCCUAUUUACUUUUCAUCCUUCUGCACACCAUGCCACAUGCACCCAUCCUGCCAGGCAGAGCAAACUUGCAACUCAAAAUUCUAUUAAAUCUAUUAGAUUUCAAGAGUAAGAUUCUGGUAAUUUCCUCAGUAAAUUAAUCACACGCUGGUUUAAUUUUUUUUUCCAAAUAUUUUCUUUAAUAUUUUUGAAAUAAGAUAACUUCUGAGGGGCGCCUGGGUGGCUCAGUCGAUUAUCAGACUUUGGCUCAGGUUGUGAUCUCACGGUGAGUUCAAGCCCCGCAUUGGGCUGUGUGCUGACAGCUCAGAGCCUGGAGCCUGAUUUGGAUUCUCUUUCUCUCUCUCUUUCUGUUCCCUCUCCCACUUGUACUCUCUCUCUCUCUCUGCCCUUCCUCCUGUCAAAAAUAAACAUUAAAAAAAGAUAGCUUCUGAAAAUGAACUUUCACAAUUUCUUUUUACCAUGACUCUUAUUGGACUCUUACUUUGAGGAUUUUCUGCCUUUACCAAUCAGUCAUUACUAUUAUGCUUUAGUCUUAAACAUCGAUUCCCCAAUACAAAAAAAUAAUUUUUUUGUCAUCGAUAGAGGUUUUAUAUAACAUGCAGUAAAAGAGUGCAAAAUGUGGGGGUUCCCCUAAGAACUAGUUAAGGAAGAUGGCAGGGGGGUAAAGGUCAUGCUGGAACUGUCAUUCUCAGGGUUGGUAAAGCAGAACUAGAGGUCAUAGUUUAAAUCAGACUCCAAAUAAAGCUUCCUGUAUCUGGCCCAUGGGAUAUGCAAGUGGGGUAAAUCCCACCUGCUAUGGGAAGACCUUACCCACUCUCAGGCCCUUCCCACUCAGGGAUGGAAGUGCCUGCAUUAGAGAGUCCCAAAGUUCCAACCUUUUCCUAAUUUCACUGACCACUAAAGCUCCGUGAGAGAUGUGAUUUGGAAAGAAGCUCAGAAUCUCAGUGCAGUCUUUCGGAAACUCAAAUGUUCCUACUGGGGCCAGGAUGCUAAAAUAGUACAGAAUGAUUCCCACUAUACAAACCCCCAUAUUGUUGUUUGACAGUGAAAUAAGAAUCAGUUAAGAUCAACUUACAGCAGUACUAAUCAUCCUUGAGCAAUUUAGACUUUUACAACUAACAUGAAUUCAUUAGUGAAGAACUACAGUAACAUAAUUAAAGUGAUUAUCACUAAGUUUUUACCUACAAGUUGAGAAGAAAUGUUGUACUUACCAGCUAAUUUUCCAGUAAUUAAAACAGUGUCUUCAAAUAGCCAUAUAUUUGCUUGGCUUUGCGGGAACAGCGAAAGUGUAACUGAUGAAUAUACUGUGAAAUAUGGAACAAUUAAAAUAUUUUAUUAAAUGUGGGGAAAAACUAGGUUAAAUAUAGUCUGUUCCAGCAGGCCCUAAAAAGUGGGAAGGGGUGGGGUGGGGGGGAAACUGUGGAAACAAAGGAAAAAUAAAUGUAAAAUACGAUGAAGGGGAAAAAAGAGUAUUAUAGUAAAGUCAGGGGGAAAAAGGUCAGGCAUCACUAUUUUACUAAUCCUUUCUAUUUCCAAUAGUUUGUACCAAAAUUACUAAUGAUGUUCUAUAACCCCAGACAUGUAUUGUCAGAUUAAAUGUUUGAAUAAUCCUCUGUUUUCUCCAUACAAUUGUUACUUGUUAUUUCCUUAUGAUUAAAAUAAAUAAAUAAAACUUUGGCUCCACAAUUCAAGGUUCUCUAAGAUAGAGACUACAUGCACUGAUGUUUUUUUAACUUCCUGCAUAAGGGCACAACUCUCUUCACCACACAGUAUGGUUUGUCAGCUCUAAGUUGGCAGAAGAGGAAACAGUUUAAUGCGUAACAGAACAAAUUAUCCACAGUCAUUGGUAGCAAUGCAGGAUGAGGCCAAAUCUGCCUACAAGAGUAGGUACCUUAAAUAACGGGUGGGAUCAGUAAGUGCAGAUGGCCUGAAAGAUAACAAAAUUAUUUCAAGAUCAGAAGUGUGUGGGGGAGGGGAGACCAUUUUAUAAGCAAGAACAGAUCAAAUAAACUUACUAAAAAUGAGUUCUCAUUUGAUAGCUCUCUUCUAUUCGAUACAAGCACUUAACAGAAAUAACAAAAUCCUAAAUCACUUAGGACAGGAUAAAAUACAUUUGCAUGGAAAUAUGUUUUAAGAUAUUUCAAAGAGCU